UAGAGGAAGUAAAAGUCGUAACAAGGUUUCCGUAGGUGAACCUGCGGAAGGAUCAUUAUCGAUGGCCGCGCCGUGAGCGCCCUGGUGCAGGAUCGGCCGGCCACUGACCACACCCUUACUUUACGAGCACCUUUCGUUCUCCUUCGGCGGGGCAACCCGCCGCUGGAACCUCAUCAAACCUUUUUUGCAUCUAGCAUUACCUGUUCUGAUAAAAAACAAUCGUAACAACUUUCAACAAUGGAUCUCUUGGCUCUGGCAUCGAUGAAGAACGCAGCGAAAUGCGAUAAGUAGUGUGAAUUGCAGAAUUCAGUGAAUCAUCGAAUCUUUGAACGCACAUUGCGCCCCUUGGUAUUCCAUGGGGCAUGCCUGUUCGAGCGUCAUCUACACCCUCAAGCUCUGCUUGGUGUUGGGCGUCUGUCCCGCCUCUGCGCGCGGACUCGCCCCAAAGGCAUUGGCAGCGGUCCACGGCCCCUCUCGCGCAGCACAUUGCGCUUCUCGAGGCGGCCCGGCCCGCAUCCACGAAGCCCACAUUACCGUCUUUGACCUCGGAUCAGGUAGGGAUACCCGCUGAACUUAAGCAUAU
rnacentral:rRNA from 1 species